rnacentral:rRNA from 1 species
GAUGAACGCUAGCUACAGGCUUAACACAUGCAAGUCGAGGGGCAGCACAGUGUAGCAAUACAUGGGUGGCGACCGGCGCACGGGUGCGUAACGCGUAUCCAACCUUCCCGUUACUCUUGGAUAGCCUUCCGAAAGGGAGAUUAAUACAAGAUGGUAUUCAAAUUCCGCAUGUUAUUUGAAUUAAAGAUUUAUCGGUAACGGAUGGGGAUGCGUGACAUUAGAUAGUAGGCGGGGUAACGGCCCACCUAGUCUACGAUGUCUAGGGGUUCUGAGAGGAAGGUCCCCCACACUGGAACUGAGACACGGUCCAGACUCCUACGGGAGGCAGCAGUGGGGAAUAUUGCACAAUGGGCGAAAGCCUGAUGCAGCAACGCCGCGUGAGCGAUGAAGGCCUUCGGGUCGUAAAGCUCUGUCCUCAAAGAAAGAUAAAUGACGGUACUUGAGGAGGAAGCCCCGGCUAACUACGUG